rnacentral:rRNA from 1 species
GACAGAGGGUGCGAACGUUGCUCGGAAUUACUGGGCGUAAAGCGCGUGCAGGUGGCCCCGCACGUCCGGUGUGAAAGCCCCGGGCUCAACCUGGGAAUUGCAUUUGAGACUGCUCUGCUCGGGUGCGGAAGAGGGAAGUGGAAUUCCCGGUGUAGCGGUGAAAUGCGCAGAUAUCGGGAGGAACACCAAUGGCGAAGGCAGCUCGCUGGGCCUGUACUGACGCUGAGGAGCGAAAGCGUGGGGAGCGAACAGG